rnacentral:rRNA from 1 species
CCUACGGGAGGCAGCAGUGGGGAAUAUUGGACAAUGGGGGCAACCCUGAUCCAGCAAUGCCGCGUGUGUGAUGAAGGCCUUAGGGUUGUAAAGCACUUUCACUGGUGAAGAUGAUGACGGUAACCAGAGAAGAAGCCCCGGCUAACUUCGUGCCAGCAGCCGCGGUAAUACGAAGGGGGCGAGCGUUGUUCGGAAUUACUGGGCGUAAAGGGCGCGUAGGCGGCUCUUUAAGUUAGGCGUGAAAUCCCCGGGCUCAACCUGGGAACUGCGCUUAAGACUGGAGAGCUAGAAAACGGAAGAGGGUAGUGGAAUUCCCAGUGUAGAGGUGAAAUUCGUAGAUAUUGGGAAGAACACCAGUGGCGAAAGCGGCUACCUGGUCCGGAUUUGACGCUGAGGCGCGAAAGCGUGGGGAGCAAACAGGAUUAGAUACCCUGGUAGUCCACGCCGUAAACGAUGUCUGCUAGAUGUCGGGGGGUUGCCCCUCGGUGUCGCCGCUAACGCAUUAAGCAGACCGCCUGGGAAGUACGGUCGCAAGAUUAAAACUCAAAUGAAUUGACGG